rnacentral:rRNA from 1 species
UACGUAGGGGGCAAGCGUUGUCCGGAAUUACUGGGCGUAAAGCGCCUGUAGGCGGGAACGUGCGUCGGACGUGAAAGGCGGGGGCUCAACCCCCGAGCGGCGUUCGAAACGGCGUUUCUUGAGGGUCGAAGAGGAGCGUGGAAUUCCCGGUGUAGCGGUGAAAUGCGUAGAUAUCUGGAGGAAUACCGGUGGCGAAGGCGGCAUCCUGGACCGGCAUUGACGCUGAAGCGCGAAAGCUAGGGGAGCAAACGGG